UCCUCGCCAGUGGCGAACGGAUGUCUUC
rnacentral:sRNA from 1 species